rnacentral:tRNA from 1 species
CGGACAUAGCUCAGUUGGUAGAGCGCAACCUUGCCAAGGUUGAGGUCGCGGGUUCGAGCCCCGUUGUCCG